GGUUCCACAGCUGUGUUUAUGUGUACAGCUGGUUACACAUUGAGUGGUAAUUCCAAGCUUGUUUGUGAGUUGACAGGUUUCUGGAAAGGAGUGAAACCCACAUGCAAUCCCGUCUGGAUGUGGGCUGUAGUGAUGACUAUACUAGUCCUGAUGUUAUUUGUGUCAGUGGUUACGAUAAUCUGCCUUGCAAAUACUCACUGUACAUACGAGCUCACGCCAUGAUAUGAAGCAGAGCAAUUAAUA